AGGCACAAAGGAAAAUAGAAGAAGCAAUUCGCCAGAAAGGAAUCGAAGAAAACUGGGCAGCUGCAUUGGAAUACAAUCCUGAAGCUUUUGCAAGGGUGGUUAUGUUAUAUGUUGACAUGGAAGUAAAUGGCCAUCCUCUAAAGGCUUUUGUGGAUAGUGGAGCUCAGUCAACAAUUAUAUCUAAAAGCU